UAUGCAACCUGAGCUGCAAAACCACUAGAAGUUUAGUAUCGCACACACAAAUCAUCUUUUUUAAAAAGUCAUUCGCUGACUUUCUUCCUCCCUUUAUCUCCUCUCCCAGUUUCUGAGUUCCUGAUUCUAAUGUCAUUUCUGAAGCUGCUCUGAAGCUGCUAUACCUAAACCAGUCUAGAGAAAUGAAACCCUCCAGCGGUUCUAGUCCCGGAAGGAAGCCGAACUGCCUUGAAGCAUCUGGCCUUGUGCCCACAUGUUGUCACAGCUCAUAGCUCAUCUUUCUCUGUGCCCUUGGCAGCUGAUCUGAAUAGAGAGUGCACAUGAACUUCAAAGGAAGCAGGCAGGAUGGAGUUGGGGCCUUGCUGCUUUAAUCAAGAUGGAUUCGAGACCUCUGGUUAUCAAGUCAGCUGUGCAGUUCUCCUGUGCAAAAAGCAGAUCAAGGGACAAGGCAAAUCACCCAGUACUUUCCCCCUGACCCUCUAAAGAGAAGAGAAGAGGCCACACAGGAACCCUGAGAGAGUGGACGGCCAGAACAGCUCUCUCCAGGAACAUGGGCAGUAUUUUUUAAAAUUCUUCCCAAAAGAUAUAUAAGUGUUCAAUAAACACAAGAA
rnacentral:lncRNA from 1 species